rnacentral:rRNA from 1 species
GUAGGUGGCAAGCGUUGUCCGGAAUUAUUGGGCGUAAAGCGCGCGCAGGUGGGUUCUUUAAGUCUGAUGUGAAAGCCCCCGGGCUCAACCGGGGAGGGUCAUUGGAAACUGGGGAACUUGAGUGCAGGAGAGGAAAGUGGAAUUCCACGUGUAGCGGUGAAGUGCGUAGAUAUGUGGAGGAACACCAGUGGCGAAGGCGACUUUCUGGCCUGUAACUGACACUGAGGCGCGAAAGCGUGGGGAGCAAACAGGAUUAGAUACCCUGGUAGUCCACGCCGUAAACGAUGAGUGCUAAGUGUUGGGGGGUUUCCGCCCCUCAGUGCUGCAGCUAACGCAUUAAGCACUCCGCCUGGGGAGUACGGUCGCAAGACUG